CGGGGCGUGGCGCAGCAGGUCAGCGCGCUGCACUGGGGGUGCAGAGGUCGCCGGUUCGAAUCCGGUCGCUCCGACCA
rnacentral:tRNA from 1 species